rnacentral:rRNA from 1 species
AGAGUUUGAUCCUGGCUCAGGAUGAACGCUGGCGGCGUGCUUAACACAUGCAAGUCGAACGGAGUUAAAAGUGGAAGCUCUCGGGUGGAAGCUUUUAACUUAGUGGCGGACGGGUGAGUAACGCGUGGGUAACCUGCCUUACACAGGGGGAUAACAGUUGGAAACGGCUGCUAAUACCGCAUAAGCGCACAGUGUUGCAUGACACAGUGUGAAAAGAUUUUAUCGGUGUAAGAUGGACCCGCGUCUGAUUAGCUAGUUGGUGGGGUAAUGGCCUACCAAGGCAACGAUCAGUAGCCGGCUUGAGAGAGUGAACGGCCACAUUGGGACUGAGACACGGCCCAAACUCCUACGGGAGGCAGCAGUGGGGAAUAUUGCACAAUGGGGGAAACCCUGAUGCAGCGACGCCGCGUGAGUGAAGAAGUAUUUCGGUAUGUAAAGCUCUAUCAGCAGGGACGAAUAAAUGACGGUACCUGACUAAGAAGCCCCGGCUAACUACGUGCCAGCAGCCGCGGUAAU